AAUUUAUUAUAUUAAUAUUUUUAUUUUUAUUUAUAUAUUUUAUAAAAAUAAUUUAUUUAUAUUUUGUUUAAGUAUUUAAUUAAAAUUAAUUUUUAGAUUUAUAGUUUAUUAGUAUUGUAAAAGAAUUUAUUAAAUUUUAAAAAGAAUUAAUUUAGUACCUUUUGUAUCAGGGUUGAUUAAAAUUUUUAAUUUAUUUUAAAUUCUCAAAAUUUACAGAGUUAAUUUUAUUAUUAAAUUAUUGUUAUAUAAAUAUUUAAAAAAUAAUAUUAGUUUUGAAAUUUAAUUCGUUGUAAUAUAUUUAGUUAUUUAAGAUAUAAAUUUAAUUUAAAAUUUUAAAAGUUUUAAUUAAUUUUAAUUAGUUUGAUUUUAAAAUUAAAUUAUUUUAGGGAUAAGCUUAAAAUUUUUAUAUAAUAUUUUUAUAAAUUUAAUAAUUAAUAGGAUUAGAAAUUUUUAAUUUAAGUUUGUAAAAAUUUAUUAUUUUAUUAAAUUAAAAUUUAUUAAAAUUUUAUUUAUUUUUUAUAUUAAAUUUUAUAAUUUAAUAAAUAAAUUAUAGUAAUAAUGAUUAAAUUAGUAUAAUUUAAAUUUAUAAAUUAUGAAUUCGGCAAUAUUUAUUUUCAUCUGUUUAACAAAAACAUUGUAUUAAGUUUAAUUUAAUAUAGGAUCUGCUCAAUGAAUUAUUUAAAUAGCUGCAGUAUUUUGACUGUGCAAAGGUAGCAUAAUAAUUAGUCUUUUAAUUGGGGACUUGAAUGAAAGAUUUGAUGAGAAAUAAACUUUAUUAUUUAUAUAAUUAAAAUUUUAUUUUUAAGUAAAAAAGCUUAAAUAAUUUAAAGGGACGAUAAGACCCUAUAAAACUUUAUAAAUAAAUAUUUUUAAAUUUUUGGUUUUAAUAAAUAUUUAAAUGUUUUUAUUUAUUUUAUUGGGGUGAUAAAAAAAAAUAAUUAACUUUUUUUAAAUUUUAACAUUAAUUAAUGAUAUUUUGAAUUAAAAUUUUUAAUUAAAAGAAAAAGUUACUUUAGGGAUAACAGCGUAAUUAAUUUUUAAAGUUCAAAUUUGAAAAUUAGUUUGCGACCUCGAUGUUGAAUUAAGAAUAAUUUUAGGUGCAAAAUUUUAAAUAUUAGGUCUGUUCGACCUUUAAAUUCUUACAUGAUUUGAGUUCAGACCGGUGUAAGCCAGGUUGGUUUCUAUCUUUUAAAUUGAUAAUUAUUUUAGUACGAAAGGAUUAAAUAAUUAAAUUAGAUUUUAUAAUAAUGAAUAAAAUUAAUUAUAUA
rnacentral:rRNA from 1 species